GUUAUUUAUGGCAUGCUGGCAAUGCUCUGGAUUUUUAUUUCAGACGAGGUGCUAAGCAGAGUAGUGAAAGAUGUUCAUACAUAUAAAUUAAUU
rnacentral:tRNA from 1 species